rfam:Nelumbo nucifera unplaced genomic scaffold scaffold00075, whole genome shotgun sequence
AAGUCUAUGAUGAGGGACCUUCCUCACUAAUUCCUUGUAGCGCUCCCAUGAUUCAUAUAAUGAUUCCCUAUCUUGCUGAGAGAAAGUGGUGAUAUCAUUCUGCAUCU